UCAACUCUGCUUUAAAAGAAAAGAAGUAGGAAAGGAAGACACCAAACUGGAAGUCAGAAAUAAAAAAACAAAUGGCCGGUGGGAGGGUUACAGUGUAAAGCAGCACAGCGAGAGGCCGACCGUGAUAAACUCUACUCUGGGUUUCAUCCCACCAUUUGUCACCUGACAGAAGAACCCUGCCUCUGCCCAGCCCGUGGGAAGACACUGAGAGUCCUGGAGGUGGCGAGGGAUCACAGAGUUUGGGAGAUUCGGGACGGUGAGCCGUGCAGGGCUGCGGGGAAGCGGGGCGCGCCGGUCGGGGUCUUCCUCCAGCUGAGCACACGGAGCCCUGAAUCCGGAGAGUGCGCCGCGCCCGCGCCGCGCCCCCGGACCUCGGGGUUAUCCGCAGGCCCCCAGCCCGGCGCCGCCCCGCCGCCUGGGCAGCCUAGGCUGGGUUCCCAGUCUACGGUAGCCGGGUGGCCUGUGCCGGAGACGGCGAGCAAUGAUAUCUUGUUCCUCAUCCCUGAAUCAUCGUCUUUGAAAUUAUAAGACAUGGAGGAUGAAGAUAAGACAGUUGAAUGUCAGGAUUCAAAGCCAUCCACAGGGACCAGUCACACAGCUUCUGUGCAUCAAGGACUAUGGGAGGAGAGGGUCGUGAACCUCAAAGAUGGGAACGAGCCAACAGAAGACAGCAACCUACUCAACAGUGGUGAAGGGAAGCCGCAGGAAUUGGCAAGAGAAUCCAGUCACUUGCAGAGUCUGAGACGGAUACUGGCUUGCCCUCCACAUGGCUGGCUGAGCAAAGUGAUAACAAAUGGUACCAUGGUUGUUCUCCUGUGGGCUGUGGUGUGGUCAGUUACCGGCCCCGAGUGUCUUCCAGGAGGAAAUCUGUUUGGAAUCAUAAUCCUAUUCUAUUGUGCAGUCACCGGAGGCAAAAUGUUUGGACUCAUUAAGUUUCCAACCUUGCCUCCUCUGCCUCCUCUUCUUGGCAUGCUGCUUGCUGGGUUUCUCUUGAGAAAUGUCCCGGCCAUCAGUGAUAAUGUCCGGAUCCAGCAGAAGUGGUCUUCUUCUUUGAGAAGCAUAGCCCUUUCUGUCAUUUUGGUUCGUGCUGGCCUCGGUCUGGACCCAAAGGCGCUGAAGAAACUGAAGGGUGUGUGUGUACGACUGGCCGUGGGUCCCUGCGUUGUGGAGGCGUGUGCUUCUGCGCUCCUUUCCCACUUCCUGAUGGGUUUGCCUUGGCAGUGGGGGUUCAUACUGGGUUUUGUCAUAGGUGCUGUGUCCCCAGCAGUGGUGGUCCCUUCAAUGCUCCUUCUGCAAGAAGGAGGCUACGGUGUUGAAAAAGGUGUUCCAACUCUACUCAUGGCCGCUGGCAGCUUUGAUGACAUUUUGGCCAUCACUGGCUUCAACACAUGCUUGGGUGUGGCCUUUUCCACAGGGUCUACAGUUUUUAACAUCUUCAGGGGCAUUUUGGAGGUGGUAAUUGGCAUGGCUACUGGAUCUUUUCUUGGGUUUUUUAUACAGUACUUUCCAAGCAGUGACCAGGACAACCUUGUGUGGAAGCGAGCCUUCCUGGUUCUGGGCUUUGCUAUGCUAGCUGUGUUCAGCAGUGUUCAUUUUGGCUUCCCAGGGUCAGGAGGACUGUCCACACUGGUCAUGGCUUUCCUUGCAGGCAUGAGAUGGAGUGACAAGAAGUCAGAGGUAGAAAAGAUAAUUGCAGUCACCUGGGACGUUUUCCAGCCCCUUCUGUUUGGCCUGAUUGGAGCAGAGGUAUCUAUUGCAUCGCUCAGACCAGAAACUGUUGGCAUUUGUGUUGCAACCCUUGGCACUGCAGUAUUGAUACGAAUUUUGACUACAUUUCUGAUGGUGUGUUUUGCUGGUUUUAACAUAAAAGAAAAGAUAUUUAUUUCUUUUGCAUGGCUUCCAAAGGCCACAGUCCAGGCUGCCAUUGGGUCUGUGGCUCUGGACACAGCACGAACCCAUGGAGAAAAGCAGCUAGAAAAAUAUGGAAUGGAUGUGUUGACAGUGGCAUUUUUGUCCAUCCUCAUCACAGCCCCAAUUGGAAGCCUACUGAUUGGUUUGCUGGGUCCCAGACUUCUUCAGAAAUUUGAACAUCAAAAUGAAGAGGAAGUUCAAGGAGAGACUUCUGCACACGUUCAGAGGAAGCCUGGGGAGUCCAUUACAGAAGCUUGAUAUACCACGUUUACCAUCCCAAACCCAAAGGUUUGGGCUCACCAUCAACCAGGACAACUCUAUAUCCCUUCAUUUCAGAUGAAAUAUUUCCCAUGAGAUUUCAUAAGAAAAAAAUUAAGAACUUUUAUGCUGCUAACAGUACCUCAGGGAUUUGCUUCCUGAGAAAGAUGGGGGAAUAGGCUACUUUGGAAAAUGAGAGAAGAACUCUUAGAACUCAGCAGGAAGGAAGUCAAACAAUCUGAUUUGAGAAUGGGCAAAAAGGGCUGUCUAGACUGCUCCAGGUCAAGAUGUUUGCCACCAAGCCUGAGCCCCGAACCCACGUGGUGGGAAGGAGAGAACCAGCUCUGGCUAGUUGUCCUCUCACCUGUGUAGACACAACUUCAUGUGCCCACCUUGGUCUUCCCACCAAACCCAUAAGGAACGUAAUGACCCUGAGAACA